rnacentral:tRNA from 1 species
CCCAUGUUGGCAGAAUCAUGCAGUUGACUUAAGAUCACCUUAUGGAAAUUAAUCCACAUGGU